rnacentral:lncRNA from 1 species
GAAAAUAAAUAGAAAAAUAAAAUAAAUUUUAGGUUAUUUUGUUGAGGUGGGCACGAACAAAAAAUGUGUGCCAACCCUUCUUUCUACGUAUAAAAGACUCCAAAGAGGAAACGUCAUUGGUGAUUUCUUCACAACCUUCUCUUCUAUCUCAAGGAAGAAAUCGAUCUUUUCUUGAGGCUUGAAAUUUUCGUAAUCAAUUAAUGGUGAUGAGCAAUAAUCCGUGGGUAGGAGGAGGAGGCGGCCACACUGCGAAACAGCCGAAAAGACUCGGCGGACCGCAACCGAAAUUGUCGAAAAGAUUGAGCAUGAAAUUCGACGCCGGUGUGGAGAAAACUAAGGAUGCGGCGAAGAAAGUUAAGGACGGAGCCUCCAGUGGUGUGAAUUGGAUCAAAAUCAAAUGCAACAAGAGCAAACUCUUCCAGAAGAAAUAACAAUCUCUAGAUAUUCGAUUUCUCCAUCACAUGGUUUGAUUUGUAAUUUUCCCCUAAUUCUUUCUUGCAUUUACAAUUGACAAAUAAGUAAUUGAUAAUUUUCUUUGGAUUUGACAUUUACGAUUGUUUAUGUAAAUUUUGUUUUGAAUUUUGUUGAAUUUAUUAUUUCUUGUGCAAUUUUCUUUAUUGUGGUUUUAGGCUUUGAGCGAAAAAAGCAAGUAGCCAUCCACCAGAUAUUCUUUUCUUUAUUCUACGAUAUAUUAAAAUUGAUAUUCGACAUGCGCGUAAGUUGUCCGGACACCCGUGGUUCUAAAAAAAUAAUAAUAAUUUAUGGAUUGAUUUACCAUGAAUUUAUUAUAUUUUUUGGUCUUCUCCAAUAGAUCAAUUAAGAAAUACAUAGAUAGAGAGCCAUUUCUUGACAAAUUGGGGUUAAAUAGAAGGGAUGUGCUAUAGACUCCUGCCAAAUCUCUCAUGUGCGGGCCUCAGCAUAUUUAUUUUUUUCAUGUGGGACCGAUCCCUACGGUGAGGGGUCGGCAAAACAUCUGUAGGAAAUUGUUCUGUACAUAGAAAAGCUCAACCUCAAUUGAACUCGAAUGUCAAAUACGAUCCUUAACAUUUUAACUUUGUAAUAAAUUUUGUACUAGUAAUUGUUAAUACGAAUGGCCAUUAGAGAUGGGGUGGUGGUGGAAUCUAUUUCAACGAUCUAAGUUAGACUGAGCACGUAAUUUUGUUCAUGAGCAGUUUUUUUUUCUUUUUUAAUCAAAAUUUGAUCCAUAUUUUCUUUAAAAUGGCUUGCAUAAUUCUAAUAAAAUGAAAUCAGAUCAAGUUUGAGUUAACGAUUAGAAGAUAUAUGAAUUGAACUCGGAAAAGAAAAUAUCUUUUUUUUUUUUUUUUAAAUUGUUCUGUCUUUCAUUUUUCAAUCUUGAAAUGGAGGUUGAAUUGAACAUUCUGCCCUUGAAAUGGAAGGCAACACAUUUCCCCAUUCAACGGUACAUAAGGGCUCAUUCGUCCAUUUGUGUCAAGUGGUAGGUGAAGUCUCUGGGCCGGCCCUAUAUCAAUCUUCAAAAAAAUCGAUUUCACGCAGGGGCGAAGUCUUUUGCUAAUAUGAGAAGAAUUGAAGACUGUGCGUAUAUGGAGAGUCGAAGAAAUCUUUGGAGUGGGUGGCUUUUUGCAGAGGGUAAAGAGAGAGAGGUGACAUGUCUCUUCCGGUUAGCUGACCAGUUGUUGUAUUGUUACUAACUAGCACCAAAAUGUCUUGUAAUUUGAGUAUAUAUUAAUAUAGCCAUGGCCAUAAUGUGCGCUUAAAAGUAGUUCGUGUGACCAAGCAACACUUAUGAUCCGAAGUUAAUUUCGUGAAUGUCAUGUUAACUCUUUUGAGUUCAUGGAGCUACAUCAUUUUAUGAAUAGCUG